rnacentral:lncRNA from 1 species
UUUCCUAGAAAGGGGAAGCAGAAGGCGGAGAGCCCUCCAUCCGAUCAUGAUUCCACCCCCAGAGGGUCCCUACCUCCGUUCCACCAGAAGACCCUCGAGACUUGCAGUCGAGAGGACCUCCUGGAUCAAAGAUUCCAAGAGAUGAACCGGUGGAUUGAGGAGCUCAUCAGAUAAGAUCAGCUCGACAUAUUCAUCCAACUCCGAUCUGAAGGUAGGGAGGAUCGGCUAAGGGCCCUACCACGGCCAGAGCCAUCAAGGAGGGAGGAACAGCCUGAAGAUCGGCCUCCAACCGAGAUCGUCAAGCAGCAGAGGAUUGAAGAGUCUAUAACCUUUACUGAAGAAGAUGCCCGAAAGAUUCAAUUCCCCCAUAAUGAUGCGGUUGUAGUUUCUUUAAAUAUUGCUGACUAUGAUGUAUGUCGC